GCCCAUUCUGCUAUAUGUUUGUAAGAAUUAAGUAUUUCAAUUAAUACAAUCUUUGCCAAUGUAAUAAGAAUAGUUUCUUAUUUUAAUUUGUAUUUAUUUCUGAGAAUGAAUAUGCUAGUUGUUUCCAUAACACCUAUUCUCCCUUCUUCCAUAAGAAUAAAAUUUUUGGUUGGGCAUCUGCUGUCCAGAAUAAAGACUACAUUUUCCAGCCUCCUUUGCAGCUGGACGUGGUCAUGUGACCGCAUUUAGGUGGCAUGUAAAUGGAGGCACUGUGUGGCAGCUUCUGGAAACUUCCUUUUGAGGCGCCAUGUAGGUGAACUUGGAUUCUUCUCUGUCCACUUCCCACUCCUCAUUCUGAUGCCUAGGCUUUAAUGCAAGCUUGGACCACAAAGUUGAGGACUGCACCACAGGGAUGGCAUAGGAAUAAUUUUGGCUGCUCUUGGGCCUUAGGCCAGGCACAGUG
rnacentral:lncRNA from 1 species